GAUGAACGCUGGCGGCGUGCCUAAUACAUGCAAGUCGAGCGAACGGACGAGGAGCUUGCUCCUCUGAUGUUAGCGGCGGACGGGUGAGUAACACGUGGAUAACCUACCUAUAAGACUGGGAUAACUUCGGGAAACCGGAGCUAAUACCGGAUAAUAUAUUGAACCGCAUGGUUCAAUAGUGAAAGACGGUCUUGCUGUCACUUAUAGAUGGAUCCGCGCCGCAUUAGCUAGUUGGUAAGGUAACGGCUUACCAAGGCAACGAUGCGUAGCCGACCUGAGAGGGUGAACGGCCACACUGGAACUGAGACACGGUCCAGACUCCUACGGGAGGCAGCAGUAGGGAAUCUUCCGCAAUGGGCGAAAGCCUGACGGAGCAACGCCGCGUGAGUGAUGAAGGUCUUCGGAUCGUAAAACUCUGUUAUUAGGGAAGAACAAAUGUGUAAGUAACUGUGCACGUCUUGACGGUACCUAAUCAGAAAGCCACGGCUAACUACGUG
rnacentral:rRNA from 1 species